rnacentral:tRNA from 1 species
GGCUUGUUAGCUCAAUUGGUAGAGCGCUGCACUAGUACUGCAGAGGUCAGUGGUUCGAAUCCCGUACAGGCCU